rnacentral:rRNA from 1 species
UACGUAGGGUGCGAGCGUUAAUCGGAAUUACUGGGCGUAAAGCGUGCGCAGGCGGUUGUGCAAGACAGAUGUGAAAUCCCCCGGGCUCAACCUGGGAAUUGCAUUUGUGACUGCACGGCUAGAGUGUGUCAGAGGGGGGUAGAAUUCCACGUGUAGCAGUGAAAUGCGUAGAGAUGUGGAGGAAUACCGAUGGCGAAGGCAGCCCCCUGGGAUAACACUGACGCUCAUGCACGAAAGCGUGGGGAGCAAACAGG